rnacentral:rRNA from 1 species
CUAUACUGCAGUCGAGCGAAUGGAUUAAGAGCUUGCUCUUAUGAAGUUAGCGGCGGACGGGUGAGUAACACGUGGGUAACCUGCCCAUAAGACUGGGAUAACUCCGGGAAACCGGGGCUAAUACCGGAUAACAUUUUGAACCGCAUGGUUCGAAAUUGAAAGGCGGCUUCGGCUGUCACUUAUGGAUGGACCCGCGUCGCAUUAGCUAGUUGGUGAGGUAACGGCUCACCAAGGCAACGAUGCGUAGCCGACCUGAGAGGGUGAUCGGCCACACUGGGACUGAGACACGGCCCAGACUCCUACGGGAGGCAGCAGUAGGGAAUCUUCCGCAAUGGACGAAAGUCUGACGGAGCAACGCCGCGUGAGUGAUGAAGGCUUUCGGGUCGUAAAACUCUGUUGUUAGGGAAGAACAAGUGCUAGUUGAAUAAGCUGGCACCUUGACGGUACCUAACCAGAAAGCCACGGCUAACUACGUGCCAGCAGCCGCGGUAAUACGUAGGUGGCAAGCGUUAUCCGGAAUUAUUGGGCGUAAAGCGCGCGCAGGUGGUUUCUUAAGUCUGAUGUGAAAGCCCACGGCUCAACCGUGGAGGGUCAUUGGAAA